UACGGCCACAUCACAUUUAAACACUGGUUCUCAUAUAAUCACUGAAGUUAAGCAAUGUUGUGUCAGAUCAGUACCUAGAUAGGUGACCUGCUUAGGAAUACCAGGUGCUGU